CAGCAGCAGCAGCAGCUAGCUAUGAGUUUGCACUCUGAAACCUAGCCAAAUUUGUCAUAAGGGCUGUUAUGACAAAGAUCUUUCAGUGUCAAUUACACAAUUUAACUACAAAGGUUUUUUCUUCUUUUUUUUUUAAGGGUAACCGACAGUGAUUAGUGGAGAAUUAGAACCACUGCCCGCCCUAGUUGAGCAUGACUUUCAGCAAGAGGAUCACAGGGGUAUAAGCCAAACAUCAAAGACUAUUGGAGAGCUGGAUCACUGCAGGUGAACAGUUACAGCUAGGAUUGGAGAUACUGUGGAUGAUGUGCCUGACGCAUAGUUGGAGAAAGACAAUUCUCUAUGAUCAUCCCAUAUUUCAAGCCCUUUGAGAAAAGGCAUUUAUAGCCAAUGUUUAUAUAAGGAGAUAUUUCAAGAAAGUAAAGCUGAAUUACAUCCCCUCCUUGAAGACAUCCUGGGACAAUAAAGAGGAGAGAAUGGGCAUGUCACCAGCAGCCCUUUAUACGAUCAGUUUCCUAAUUUUGGAGUUCCUUUCCUUUGAUGCACAAGCAACAUCUGGCACUCACAACAUCACCCUGUGGGAACUGGAGCCGUAAGGAAUCCAUGCAAAGUAUUGCUCUUGCUGCUGCGUUGUUGUGUGUAAUAAAUAGCC